rnacentral:rRNA from 1 species
AGUUUAGCUAAUGUUGCCCGUACCGUAAACCGACACAGGUGGGUGGGAUGAGUAUUCUAAGGCGCGUGGAAGAACUCUCUUUAAGGAACUCUGCAAAAUAGCACCGUAUCUUCGGUAUAAGGUGUGGUUCGCUUCGUAUUAGGAUUUACUCCGAAAGCGAAGAAACUUACAACAAAGAGUCCCUCCCGACUGUUUACCAAAAACACAGCACUCUGCUAACUCGUAAGAGGAUGUAUAGGGUGUGACGCCUGCCCGGUGCUCGAAGGUUAAUUGAUGGGGUUAGCAUUAGCGAAGCUCUUGAUCGAAGCCCGAGUAAACGGCGGCCGUAACUAUAACGGUCCUAAGGUAGCGAAAUUCCUUGUCGGUUAAAUACCGACCUGCAUGAAUGGCGUAACGAGAUGGGAGCUGUCUCAAAGAGGGAUCCAGUGAAAUUGUAGUGGAGGUGAAAAUUCCUCCUACCCGCGGCAAGACGGAAAGACCCCGUGGACCUUUACUACAGCUUGACACUGCUAUUUGGAUAAGAAUGUGCAGGAUAGGUGGGAGGCUUUGAGUAUAUGACGCCAGUUGUAUAUGAGCCAUUGUUGAGAUACCACUC